UACGAAGGGGGCUAGCGUUGCUCGGAAUUACUGGGCUUAAAGCGUGCGUAGGUGGUGAGUUAAGUCUGUCGUGAAAGCCCCGGGCUCAACCUGGGAAUGGCGAUGGAUACUGGCUCGCUAGAGUGCGGUAGAGGAGAGUGGAAUUCCCGGUGUAGCAGUGAAAUGCGUAGAGAUCGGGAGGAACAUCAGUUGCGAAGGCGGCUCUCUGGACCAGCACUGACACUGAGGCACGAAAGCGUGGGGAGCAAACAGG
rnacentral:rRNA from 1 species